UGCCCAUCGAUGUCCCCAGGUGUCCCCAAGUGUCCCAGUGCCAUCGAUGUCCCCAAGUGUCCCCGAGCCCCAGAUGUCCUCCAGUGACCCCAUAUGUCCCAGUGCCAUCAAUGUCCCCAAGCGCCAGGUGUCCCCCAGUGUCCCCAGGUGUCCUGGUGCCAUUGGUGUCCUCAGGUGUCCCCAGGCCUCAGGUGUCCCCACGUGUCCUUCAGUGUCCCCAAGUCCCAGGUGUCCAUCGAUGUCCCCAGUGUCCCCAGGUGUCACAGUGCCAUCAAUGUCCCCAAGUGUCCCCAAGCCCCAGGUGUCCCCAAGCCCCAAGUGUCCUCCUGUUGUCCCCGAGUGUCCCUGUCCCCCAGUGUCCCCAUGUGUCCCAGUGCCAUCGAUGUCCCCAAGUGUCCCCCAGUGUCCCCAAGCCCCAGGUGUCCCCAAGUGUCCUGGUGCCAUUGGUGUCCCCA
rnacentral:lncRNA from 1 species